rnacentral:piRNA from 1 species
UAGAUGCUGCUUCUUGCUAAGUGAGGU